rnacentral:rRNA from 1 species
AUUGAACGCUGGCGGCAGGCCUAACACAUGCAAGUCGAACGGUAACAGGAAGAAGCUUGCUUCUUUGCUGACGAGUGGCGGACGGGUGAGUAAUGUCUGGAAAACUGCCUGAUGGAGGGGGAUAACUACUGGAAACGGUAGCUAAUACCGCAUAAUGUCGCAAGACCAAAGAGGGGGACCUUCGGGCCUCUUGCCAUCGGAUGUGCCCAGAUGGGAUUAGCUAGUAGGUGGGGUAACGGCUCACCUAGGCGACGAUCCCUAGCUGGUCUGAGAGGAUGACCAGCCACACUGGAACUGAGACACGGUCCAGACUCCUACGGGAGGCAGCAGUGGGGAAUAUUGCACAAUGGGCGCAAGCCUGAUGCAGCUAUGCCGCGUGUAUGAAGAAGGCCUUCGGGUUGUAAAGUACUUUCAGCGGGGAGGAAGGGAGUAAAGUUAAUACCUUUGCUCAUUGACGUUACCCGCAGAAGAAGCACCGGCUAACUCCGUG